GUUGCUGUCUGAUUUAUCUUUCAGGAGGCUCUUCCUGGCUGCAGUGAUGAAAAUCAGCUGUAAGAAGAAAGGAUGGAGAUGCAGUGAAAACAAAGCUGUCUUCAGACUCAAGUUCUUGUGGGACUAAAUCAGCAAAGGACAGAAGGUGGAAACUGAGGAAGAUGUUGCUGGAGGCGGGGCCCUUCCAGUGGAGUUAGCCAGGGUCACCUGCGGAGCCCUGCAGGUCCCAGGCUGCUGUGCUCAUGUACUGAAUAGUAUUUCUGGGAAGGCUACCCAGACUUUGAUGCAGCUUUCAAACAAAAAGUUAACAGUCUUGAGUGGCUUCUCUGUUUUCUCAGUGCACCUGUUCCUCGAUCAGGUAGUGCUGCUGGCUCAGGCCCCGACUGCCUCUGGUUCCACACAAGAAAGCUGGCAUUCCUCUUGAGUGAAGUCCCAAGUGCAGACAAAUUUAGUAGCAAACAGACUGAUCUCAAAAACUCCUACUGGUCACAGAAUAAUGACUUGUUUGAAUUAAGAAGAAAUGAUUCAAGAACUCAGUUAAAAGCAAUAAUAAUUUUAUAUAAUGAUUUUACAUGAGUUUAAAAUGGUGAACCUUUUUCUUUAACCUUUAAAAAUAUCCAUGCUUUCAUUUAAGUCAAAUAAUAAACAUAUUACACGUGUGCUUCAGGCCUCCUGGUUUACCUGGUACUUUCCACACCAUUCUCUCACUUAAUCCUCCAUGAACAUCCAUACAUAACCUGGAUGUUCAUUUGCUCUCACUUUAUCCUUGCAAAACCAUCUGGAAUUUCUCCCCUGGUGCUUCCAAGGAGAUCAUAAUUAUAACGUAGAUCCUGGAAAAGACACCUCCCAACGAGGUGACAUUUGUGACCCCUUGGAUCAAGGUCAGCCCUUACAGUAUGCUAUUUAAGUACUGAAACACAGUUUCCUGCAAAACCUUCCAAGUCAAUAUACACAUCUGUUGCUUCAAAUCAUUUAAACCGCCCUGUAAAUGUAGCCAAAUGUCCUGUUUUAGUGGGCUCUGGCUUGCCCCCAGCAGGGGUGGCUGCAGUAGUUAGUUGGGGUCCCCUUGGUCCAGGUUUUUAAUUUGCAGCAGUAUUGGAAGGGUUAUUUAAUAUAGGAGUUUUAAAUACUAUAGACAGCAGAAUGAGGACGGUGUUAUUGUGCAAAUAUUACUGGUGAAGAAACUUGGUUAAUUCCCACCAUCACACCCCUAGGAAGUGACAGAAUCACAGCUCUAAACAGGUGGGUGUUCUGCUUCCAAACCCAGGGCUCUCGGAUCAGCCAUGAGAACAUGAGGAGUUCAGCUCUUCCCAGCCAUGACUCCCAAUCACCUACCCGCAGGGGCCUUUGAUAAUAAUCCUCCAAGUCCUGAGCGUGAAGUAAUUUCUAUAUUUGCACAUGAAUUUUAGGUCAAGUGGUAUAAUAGGAUUCGCAGGGUGGUCAAACGCCAGAGCUGGAGCUCGGCUGUCGGGGCUGGACCCUGGAUCUGCUGCUACCAGCUCCCUGACCUUGUCUGAGUGGCUGCCGUCUUUGAAUUUCAGGUUUCUCAAAUGUCUAAUGGCAUAAAACAAGAUAAUGCAUAGAGGUGGUCUUGUGGGGUGCUGGGCCCAUAGUGAAUGCUCCCUAUGCAUCAUUGAAGGCGAUUCUUACUACUCUUGUCACGUAACACUUCAAACUUGCACUGGUGGUUUGCAUGCAAUUGACAUGUAAAAGCACAUCUGAUUGCUUGGAUCGUAGCUGAAGUCAAGUCCUGGUGCUUUUUUUGGCCUUUGCCGCUGUCUAGCAUGGUCCUCAGUAGAUGUUUGCAUUAUGGAAUAUGAAACCAGGAGCCCACUGAGUGUCCUACAGGCUGUUAGUUCCGGAGUUGCUGUACCAGGUGAUUUCUUGGAUACUUCUUGGUUCUAACUUCAGUUUCAUGUUUAUUGAAGACUGGCCAGACACUUAGUCCUUUAAAGCUGCUCCACUCAAUCUGAACCUACCUUUAACGCACUGUAUUUCCCAUGCCUGCCUCCACUCUGUAUCUCCCACCAGAUAGCAAUCAACUCCCUGAAAAGACAAAAACUGUGUCACGGUGUCUUCAGAGCUGAGCCUGCUAACUGGUGUGUCGUAAGCACUAAAAUACACUUUUAUUGAAUAAAUGCCGUUGACAAAUGGAAGUUAGGUAAGCCUUCUAAUUCCCAUUUUGUUUCACCUAUGUAUAUAUUAAGACCACUGUAUAUUAAAAGUCUAAUACAAAAAUCUACUAUGUUAAAUGAUAAUAUAAUAAUCUAUUCCAUCAAUAUAAGUACCAUAUUUAUUGAAUACCUACUGUUUGCCAGUCAAGGCUAUGCCAAUGAAGCAGAGAAUUAAAAAGAUAAACCGCUGCCUUGUGCAGUGGUGUGCGGACUGUCGAGGAGACGGACAGAAGCAGUGGUUACCGUGCUGGCGUGAGCCAGAAGUUUCCUGCCCUCUUGUCACUUCUGGGGUCUAGAAAAGUAGCACAAAAAUGCAUUAUGCAAAUGCAAUAUUUGGUGAAACUCACUAGGUGACAUUAUACUAAGAAAUAAAACCAAAGCUCAUCUUGGUUUCAGUUAGGCCUCAGCCCCGCUGAAGUCUCGCCGGUAUUUUUCUGCCCUGGAUACAGUGGAGACAGGCUUCAGCCACCUCACAAGCUUGCUGGACAACGGGCUUUUCUUCCUCUGUCUUCUUCAGGACUGUGAGUGCCUGACGGGCAGGAGCUGCACCCGUCACCUUGCUGUCCUCGCUGUUACCACAGGGCCACAUCAGUGAACACAGGCUCUACUGAGGCGGCAGCCUCCCCGUAGCUUGUAUUCUUGCAAAGAAGUUGAAAACCAAAUCAAUGCAGUCACAAGACACAGAUACAUAUGGAUGCAAAUUUGCUGAACUCAGGAACGACCACCAGAUUGGCAGGGCUAAUUCACCCUCAGUGUUUUGUAUUUUUUCCCUAAUUAUUCUAAAAUGAUCCUGUUGCUUUAUUCCCACAGAACAAGCACUGGCAGACGAGGAACACUAUCCCCAGCAGGCCUCGGCUGCCGGCAACGCACCCCUGCCCUCAGAAAGACAGCCUUGCUCUGAAUUUAUUUUCAUAAUUACAUGAACGUUAUCUAAAAAAAACAAAGGACGUGGGAAAGAAUAAAGCUUAAAAUAAACUUUAAGCUGUGGGAAUGCAGGGGGCCAGGCUGGAGAACAGAGAAAGCCAGAGUGAGCUCAGUGUCUCUGUGCUGAUCUACUUGGCCAGCAAGAAGGCUGCAUACAACAGAGAUCUGUGUCCACCAGCCAGAAGUUCAGGACUCAGACACACAAUAUGCUGACUUUAUUCUAGAGCUAAUUCAUUCCAAAGUAUGAGAAACAUAGAGAAAAGCCAGCAACUGUUAGCCACACAGGUAGUAACGUUUCUUUCUUAAAGACUAGAGUUAUAUUUCUUCUAUUGUGGUACAACCUCAUUGUUUUUACGGCCAUAUUAUCAUUUUAUUCAGGAAUGUUGAAAUGCUCUGAAAUAUCACUUAGUCAUUAAAAUGUUGAUUACUACAACUAAAUGACAACAUAGAAAAGUGCUUAUGAUAUAUCAUUUAGAGAAAAUUUAGGAUACACGACCUUACAAGCACUAUGACAGGAGCUGAGUAAAAGUAGACUACGUCAAGAGGCCGGAAAGGAAGACAGAAGGGAAAAGGCCCCGCGCGUCUCCGUGUCAACAGGCCGGAAAGGCAGACAGAAGGGAAAAGGCCCCGCGCGUCUCCACGUCAACAGGCCGGAAAGGCAGACAGAAGGGAAAAGGCCCCGCGCGUCUCCACGUCAACAGGCCGGAAAGGCAGACAGAAGGGAAAAGGCCCCGCGCGUCUCCACGUCAACAGGCCGGAAAGGCAGACAGAAGGGAAAAGGCCCCGCGCGUCUCCACGUCAACAGGCCGGAAAGGCAGACAGAAGGGAAAAGGCCCCGCGCGUCUCCACGUCAACAGGCCGGAAAGGCAGACAGAAGGGAAAAGGCCCCGCGCGUCUCCACGUCAACAGGCCGGAAAGGCAGACAGAAGGGAAAACGCCCCGCGCGUCUCCACGUCAACAGGCCGGAAAGGCAGACAGAAGGGAAAACGCCCCGCGCGUCUCCACGUCAACAGGCCGGAAAGGCAGACAGAAGGGAAAAGGCCCCGCGCGUCUCCACGUCAACAGGCCGGAAAGGCAGACAGAAGGGAAAAGGCCCCGCGCGUCUCCACGUCAACAGGCCGGAAAGGCAGACAGAAGGGAAAAGGCCCCGCGCGUCUCCACGUCAACAGGCCGGAAAGGCAGACAGAAGGGAAAAGGCCCCGCGCGUCUCCACGUCAACAGGCCGGAAAGGCAGACAGAAGGGAAAAGGCCCCGCGCGUCUCCACGUCAACAGGCCGGAAAGGCAGACAGAAGGGAAAACGCCCCGCGCGUCUCCACGUCAACAGGCCGGAAAGGCAGACAGAAGGGAAAAGGCCCCGCGCGUCUCCACGUCAACAGGCCGGAAAGGCAGACAGAAGGGAAAAGGCCCCGCGCGUCUCCACGUCAACAGGCCGGAAAGGCAGACAGAAGGGAAAAGGCCCCGCGCGUUUCCACGUCAACAGGCCGGAAAGGCAGACAGAAGGGAAAAGGCUCCGCGCGUUUCCAUGUCAACAGGCCGGAAAGGAAGACAGAAGGGAAAACGCUCCGCGUGUUUCCAUGUCAAGAGGCCGGAAAGGCAGACAGAAGGGAAAAGGCCCCGCGCGUUUCUGUGUCCAGAGGCCGGAAAGGCAGACAGAAGGGAAAAGGCCCUGCGCGUUUCUGUGUUCUGUUACGGGGCUGGGGUGUGCAGUCAGGGUUUUCCUUUCCAACACUUUAUAUCAUGGCUUAUUUUCUUAAUAUUAGUAAAAACACAUUAAAAAUGAGUUCAAGUAGAAAUUAAUAGAGUAAGAAUACAUAACCUGGAUGUUCAUUUGCUCUCACUUUAUCCUUGCAAAACCAUCUGGAAUUUCUCCCCUGGUGCUUCCAAGGAGAUCAUAAUUAUAACGUAGAUCCUGGAAAAGACACCUCCCAACGAGGUGACAUUUGUGACCCCUUGGAUCAAGGUCAGCCCUUACAGUAUGCUAUUUAAGUACUGAAACACAGUUUCCUGCAAAACCUUCCAAGUCAAUAUACACAUCUGUUGCUUCAAAUCAUUUAAACAGCCCUGUAAAUGUAGCCAAAUGUCCUGUUUUAGUGGGCUCUGGCUUGCCCCCAGCAGGGGUGGCUGCAGUAGUUAGUUGAGGUCCACUUGGUCCAGGUUUUUAAUUUGUAGCAGUAUUGGAAGGGUUAUUUAAUAUAGGAGUUUUAAAGCUAUAAAAUAUAUAGCCAAGAAAGACUGAGUUUUGAUGUAUGCAUACAAUCCCAAACUCCUUAAUACUAAAAAUCAAGAGACUAAAACCCUUAAGCUUCUGUUCCCAGGAGAUUAUAAUGGUUUCACAAAAGCUCCCAUGUUUCUGUUUAGACCCUGAGAAGGGCUCUUUCCACCAGAGAAGACAGAGGUCCUUGGCCCCACCUCUGAGGUGGGCACAGCCUCACCCAGCCCAGAUGGCUCUCACGGCCAGGGCCAAGACACGUCCUGGCUGAAGGCCACCGUACACAGCAGCAGGGCCCCUGAAAUAUGAACUCAACAAAAUUGUAGCAUAGAGAACUCCGUAACAGUUAAACUCUGGACACCAAAUGAAAUCCACCAGGGACAAAAAUCUGUUUCAGUAACUACUGCCAACAUCGGACUUUCCCCUGCCCUGUGAUGGGGAAAAGAGGGCAAGUUAAGAGCCACCCUCCCACAACUUUGAGCUCCAGCAGCCACUGAAAAGAACCACCUUCCCCACAUGACACAGACAAGACUCACCAGUGACAGGGCCAGAAUCAGACCCUCUGCAUUCCCAUUUUUGUCCCACAGAUGUGUAGCUGAACUGCUUUGACUCCACUGAUCUAUCUUAAAAAAAUACUUGUUAGCCGAACUUCGACUCAGCUUCUCCUCUCGGCCAAGCCCACCCAUGAAUGCUGCGAUGGGGACCCCACCCUCCCCUCCAUCUCUUCCCAGUGGGCUGACCCAUUUCCUGCCCACUGUCCACUGCGCCACGGGCCCCUCCAUGCCUCACCCAGGUGUUCUAGGCUUGGUUACUCCCUCCUCCUAAAACAAAAGUGCUUUUCUGCCUGAGAUGCUUGAAGUUCUUUGGGGUCAGAGCAUUCACCCUGUGUCAUGAAGUCCCCUCCCUCUCUCAAAAUGAGAACUUCAGGUAAACUCUCUGCUUAAGCGAGUCUGGAUUUGUGUUUCACUGAAACACAGAGAAGACAGAGAGGACACUACACUGGCUGAGAACUACCAUACGUCCUUAAUAACAAUGAACAAUGAACAAGAGAGAGGGCCCCACGUUCUGGCAACAUGGCGAACCUGUGAACUAGGGAAGCCCUCCCAGCACAGAAAGUGCCAGGAAAAUAAAAACAAACAGAACAUUUUAAAAUUUAUGACUGUGUAAGUAGAAAAAUAAGGUGAGUCUUAGAGGUAUGAAUCUGUAAGAACAGGCAGCCUUGAUUGGCUGAGGCUGUGAUUUUCCCAGAAGGAAAAUGUGGCCGAGGCAUGGGGGUUCAUAGGUUUCACCUGAGGGCGGUGGAAAUGGCCUUUGUAAGUUUGAGUCCUGCAAAGGGGACAAUUACAGCAUGAGAAAAGGGGACAGACCCUCAGGAUAAUCACUCUGUUUGAAUUCUGGUGGAGGGGAAAUGAGACCAAAAAUAUCACUCCAGAGUCUUCCUCAACUCAGUGCUUUGAUUUGGGGUUCAAUUCAUGCUGUCUCUGUGGCCCAGCAAGCCCUAAUUCUAGAAUGGAAAGAUUGGUACCAGGUAGAAGCAAAAACACUCCUCUCUGGGGCAAAACACUUUAAAGAAGGCCUGGGCCACGUUCCAGGCCUUUAGGAGACUCUCCUAGGAAAGUGGGAUCUGAUUUGCUCCAGUCGUGGAGCCUGGGAAGGUGGUUCUGGGGGAAGGUCGUGCCUUUCUGACCAGCCUCUGAGAGCUGAGUCAAGAAGUUAGAGGAGAGCUGGUGCCUGGUUGGGCCUGGCCAGUAACUCCUGCAGGAACUGCAGUGAGGGCCGACCCUGAGCCCAGAAAGGUUCCCGAUGAUUAACAGGAGGCUCUGAAAAGUGCAUCAUUUAUUCUUAGCAUUGUCAAAUUGCUUGACCCAAGUCAGAGGUGAUUUUUUGGUUUAUUAUUUGCAAAGCAUCGUGCCUUUACCCUGCAGGGGCCAUUUCCCCUCACAAGGAAUGCAGCAAGGAGCUUGGAAGCAGACGGCUGUGGGGAAGGACCAGCAUGGGUGGGGGUGCUUUGAGAGGAGAGACAGAGGGCCUUUGCCCUUUCACCGGAGAGACAUGGUGCCACUAAGAGUUGCGAAGGGUAAAGAAUGUGUGAAGACACAGAUACCUUGGGGGACAGUUUUUCCUCUAACUCAGGAAUGAGGAUGGUUCAACUCACACUAUUUCAAGCCUUCCAAGUAAACAGUAGUUAGUAAAAACACAAUACCUGUCUCUAAUAUUACUUGCCUAAAUAUAUGGACAUAUGAAAAUGUAUCUCAAAAAAAUAAUCUAAAGAGAAGGAGAAAACUAUAAUAAAAGGUGUUUAUUGCAGUGAUAAAAAUAUCAAACAACAGUAGUAAAUGUAAGUCUUGCAGUCAAGCUUUAGGGUAUUGUUCAAUAAUCAAAAUAAAAUGUUGAUUAUGUAGCAACACA
rnacentral:lncRNA from 1 species